AUUGAACGCUGGCGGCAGGCCUAACACAUGCAAGUCGAGCGGAUGAGUGGAGCUUGCUCCAUGAUUCAGCGGCGGACGGGUGAGUAAUGCCUAGGAAUCUGCCUGGUAGUGGGGGACAACGUUUCGAAAGGAACGCUAAUACCGCAUACGUCCUACGGGAGAAAGCAGGGGACCUUCGGGCCUUGCGCUAUCAGAUGGGCCUAGGUCGGAUUAGCUAGUAGGUGAGGUAAAGGCUCACCUAGGCGACGAUCCGUAACUGGUCUGAGAGGAUGAUCAGUCACACUGGAACUGAGACACGGUCCAGACUCCUACGGGAGGCAGCAGUGGGGAAUAUGGACAAUGGGCGAAAGCCUGAUCCAGCCAUGCCGCGUGUGUGAAGAAGGUCUUCGGAUUGUAAAGCACUUUAAGUUGGGAGGAAGGGCAGUAAGUUAAUACCUUGCUGUUUUAACGUUACCAACAGAAUAAGCACCGGCUAACUUCGUGCCAGCCGCCGCAGUAA
rnacentral:rRNA from 1 species